CAUCCCUUGACCUAGCGAGCACGCCAGUAGCAUCUCCGCAAGCUGCUCGUCUACAUCAGGGGAAAGAGA
rfam:Leptomonas pyrrhocoris LpyrH10_09, whole genome shotgun sequence.